ensembl:lncRNA
GGAGGGAGGGGGACUAUAGGUGGAGGGAGGGGGCCUAUAGGUGGAGGGAGGACUAUAGGUGUGGAGGGAGGGACUAUAGGUGGAGGGAGGACUAUAGGUGGAGGGAGGAGGGACUAAAGGUGGAGGGAGGACUAUAGGUGGAGGAAUGACUAUAGGUGGAAGGAGGGACUAUAGGUGGAGGGAGGACUAUAGGUGGAGGGAGGAGAACUAAAGGUGGAGGGAGGACUAUAGGUGGAGGGAGGGGGACUAUAGGUAGAGGGAGGACUAUUGUUGAAGGGAGGGGGACUAUAGGUGGAGGGAGGGACUAUAGGUGGAGGGAGGACUAUAGGUGGAGGGAGGGGGACC